rnacentral:rRNA from 1 species
GUCUACAGCCAUGCCACCCUGAAUGUGCCCGAUCUCAUGUGAUCUGGGACGCUAAAGAGGAGUUGAACCUGGUAAAUACUUGGAUGGGAGGCCACCUGGGAAUACUGGGUGCUAUAGGCU